rnacentral:lncRNA from 1 species
CUCAAAUUCAAAUAGUCUGUAAACUCUUUGUAGGAUAAAUAAGAAGAAAACUACACCUUAGCACAUUCUUAUGGUCAAAUUUCUGAAAGAAAAUAAGUAAAGAGAAAAUCCUAAAAGCUGUAAACACAUGAUAUAUUGCUUUUAUUUUAUUUUUUCUGAUAUAUUGCUUUUAAAGGAGCACUAAUAUAGAGUUACAGUUAACUUUUUUUUUUUUUAAGAAUUGUAUUCAUUUAUUCAUAAGAGGCACAGAGAGAGAAACAGAGACAUAGGCAGAGGGAGAAGCAGGCUCCCCUCAGGGAGCCACAUGUGGGACUCCAUCCAAGAACUCCAGGAUCAUGCCCGAGCUGAAAGCAGAGUUUAACCACUGAGCCAUCCAGGUGUCCCUGCAGUUAACUUUUCUUAAAAGCAAACAUGAUAGGUGGAAUACAAUAGAAUGUGGUGAAAGAAAACCUGCCACCCAAGAAUUUAAUACCCAGUGAAAAGUAUUUUUUCAAAUGUGAAGGUUUGAUAAGAACCUCUUUGUACAAAACAAACAAAAUCUCUGAAUUAAUUCAUUGUAAGCAGACUUGCACCAAAAAAACACUAAAUUUUUUCAUACUAAGGCAGAGUAAUCUCAGAUGAAAAUACAAAACUACAGAUAGCAAUAAAGAGUACAAUAAAGAUAAAUAUAAAAUAAAACUGAUUAUUUAAAGCAAAAAAACAGUAUUAACUUUUAUAUGAUUUAUAUCACAUAUAUAAGAUAAUACAUAUGAAAAUAAUACCAUAGAAGGAAGAUACGUAGAGGUGAGCUUUUGUAAGUAUCUUGAAUUCCUUGGGAAAUGGUAAAAUUAUUAAUUUAAGGUAGAAAUAAAAAUUAAAACAAAAAAAUUCAUAAAUUUGAAAAGAGGUUGAAUAAUUUCAUCCAACUCUAAUAGAUUUUACCUUCAAUCCAAAGAAAAAUAUAUUUCCAAAAACUUAAAUAUUUUUUAUUUUAUGGCCAUUCCAAAAAUGAGUUAGGUGAACUCUUGGAAUUACUAUUCUAUUCUACUUUGAAUCUCAAGACCAUACACAUUGAGGAUUCAAGCCUCAGUGCUUUUUAGUACACUGCAGUAACUCUGUCUGAUCUUAAGAUUUUAACCGAACAUAUUUCAAUUUCUAAACACCUAAAAAAGAAAUGUGCACUUUAUUUAAAUUUUUCUCAAAAAUUUAAAAAUAUCUAGUAUAAUUUAUUUGUGGGAGGAACUGCCUAUUCCCUGAAUAAGGUAUUUCUGUUGUUUUGUUUUUUCUUUGUUGCUGCAGUUCUCAUAAAAGUAGUGAUUUAGUACAUAGUAGAUAACAUUCCUGCUCUUUAUUUAUUAUUAUGUCAAAGUGAAAGUACUGUUAAAAAAAAAGUACAGUUAUACAAGUUUGUGUAAUCAAAUAUAUAGCAUCCUCGACAGAUGCAAAAUUAGUACAUUUCCCAUGGCAUAGAUUCUAUCAUCUCUUCAUACUUUUAUUCUUAAAUGUCUUUCAUUUAUUCUUUUCAUUAGGAGUUGAAUUUUGUUGUAAAGUUUAUAGGAGGAAAACCAUCUGCUCAACUUCUUUAACUUUUUUCUUCACUUGUAAACAAUACAUUAGUGAAGCUAUUAUGCAACUCUUCCCUGAGAAUUUGGAAUUUCGUUUGCUCUCAGUGCUCAAUGCUAGACUGAAUAACAGCCUCCCAAUGGCAACCAUGACUUAAUUUCAGAUGUUACCUCACGGUAAAAGGGCUUUUACAGAUAUGGUUCAGUAAAGGAUCUUGAUAUUGGGAGCUUAACCUGGAAUAUCCAGGUAGAGCCAUUGUAAUCAUAAGCCUGUGAGAGGGAGGCAAGAGGAAGAGUUAUAUACAGAGAAGAUGUAAGGCUGGAAGCAGAGGUCAGAGAGGAGACAAGUUGCUACACUGCUGGCUUUCAAGCUGGAGAAAAGGGCCAUGAGCCAAGGAAGUAGAUGCCCUCUAGAAUUUGGAAAAUAUCAAAAAACAGAUUCUUCUUUAGAGCCUCUAAAAGGAACACAUAAGUGCUGAAACUUGGUUAGACUUCUGACCUCCAGAACCAAAAACGAAUAAUUUGUGUCAUUUAAGUUAUUAAGUUUGCAGUGAUUUGUUACACAAGUAAUGAGAAACUAAUACUCUCUGUGAGGCUUAAAUUACAAAGAAAGCCACAAUGGUCAAAGGACAAAUAAGCAGAGCUAAAAUGGCUCUCAGGUUAGAGUAUGGUUAGUCAUAUUUAGAGCAUAAAAAAGUCAGAAAGACAACAGCAGUGCAGCCAAGUACCACAUAUGACAAGAAUUUUACUAUUCCGAUAACACUGAACCAAAUUUAAAAGAUAAGAUUUUUGAGAAACGUCCUAACUAGAUUUGAAUCUUGUCUUAAUCACUUAAUAACUAUAUACCAGCUUGGGCAGUUAUUUAGCCUCUCUGAAAACCAGUUUUUACUUCUAUCUAGUAACUAUGUAUUAUUAGGCUGGUAUUAACUGUUCAGCCUUCUUGAUUCUAUGACCCCUGAACUACUCUCAGAUUAAAACUUAAAUUCCAAAGUAGAUUUCUCUAUAGGUAAAAAAUAUACUGACUAGAGGAUUUGAGUAUCUCUUCUUCUCAGCCACUAAAUGUAUCAUUGUGAAUUAAUGCAUUUGCAGUAUUUUAAAUAGGAUUGACCUUUAUAUAAUUGGCUAAGUAGAAAAUAUCAGGUUUUCAUGCCUCUGAAGAAUAAGACCAAGAUAUAGCUACCAAUAUGAUGUCAUCUACAUCAAUUUUCUAACAGUAUGCCACCCCUAUUUCACAAACAUCAGUUUUUACAAUGUGUAAGAGACAAUGCUUCUCAUAAUUUUACAAACAUCAUCAUUUUUCCUCUAGUCAGUUUAAUGAAAUUUUAUCAAGCAUCCAUUACCUUAAUGUAGCUAUUUUUUCUUUUUUUUAAAAGAGAUUAUAUAGGGAAUCCCUGGGUGGCUCAGUGGUUUAGCAUCUGCCUUCAGCCCAGGGUAUGAUCCUGGAGUCCUGGGAUCUAGUCCCACGUCAGGCUCCCUGCAUGGAGCCUGCUUCUCCUUCUGCCUGUGUCUCUGCCUCUCUCUCUCUCUUUCUUUCAUGAAUAAAUAAAUAAAAUCUUAAAAAAAGAGAUUUUAUAAUUAAUAGUAAAAAUAAUGGGCAUUUGGCAGUCAUUAUGUCAAGCUUGCUGUUAAUAACAUCAUUUAUUAGAUGAGGAACUUGAGAUUUGCAGGAGUGACAUGACUUGUCCAAGACUACACAGCUAGACUCAGAGCUAGAGUACAAACUUGGUUCUCCGCCUUCCCUAGGACCUGAACUAUCAUCAUCGUCUUAUGCUACUUCCCUAAUUCUAUCAACUACACAGUAGUAAACUCAGGUAAUUGUUUCUGCCUAUUCCCUGGUAAAUUACAUUGUACAUUGUAUUGUAUUUUAGUAAAUCAUAACUCAGUAAAUCAUUUGCAAGAAGAAAACAUUUAUUUUAUUUCAAGAGGAAAAAAUACCAGUUAGUCAUAGCUCUUAUUAUAGUCAGGCUUGAUGAGAAAAUUGAAACGAAAGCACUUGAAUUUUCUUAAUAUGUGAAUUUAAGCUUUUGUACCCAGAGGUAUUUUAGAAUAAACUUUAAGAAGUCAGAGAUAGUGGGGUGUCUGGGUGGCUCAGCCGAGUAAGCAUCUAACUCUUGGUUUCGACUCAGGUCAUGAUCUUGGAGUCCUGAGAUCAAGCCCCUUGGGCACUGUGCUCAGAGCAGAGUCUCCUUAAGACCCUCUCUCUCCCUCUCCUUCUGCCCCUACCUCCACUCAUAUUUAUUUUCUCUUUCUCUCUCUGAAUAAAUAAAAUCUUAAAAAAUAAAGAAGUCAGAGAUAGUGGGUUAUAAUUUACAGAACAUAAAUUUAAGAGGACUAUCAGCAAAUCCAUCAUGAUCUUUUCAUGGUCACGAGCACAAGAUAAGUGUUAAAUUGAACAGGAAGAAAUCUUUACCCCAACAGAAAUGAAGAUUUCUAUUCUUUGUCUUUUUAAAGCAAUUUUCUUCAACAGAGCCCCAAACCUGUUAUCCAAAUUUAAUAGAUAGGAAUGGCUAGCUCAGGGCUUUGUACUUCUCAAAGCACCUGUGACAACAGGUGUACAGGAUUCUUCAUUAACCAUUGCUUUAAAAAGCAUGAAAUCCUUGUUAUUUCUAAGUGUGUUCUGUGGGCCAGCUGCUGGUAUCACCUGGGAGCUUGUUAGAGAUGCAAAUCUCAGUCCCCGCCCACACAUUUGGAAGCAUAUUCUGUAUCUUUUUUUAAACUCUGGCAAUUGGCAUGCAUCUUAAAAUUUGAGAUUUCAGCCUCUGAUUUUAAUUUGCUCUCUAGCUAGGGGUACAUUUAAAUUUAUUAGAGGAGGUAUGAUAUCAUUUUUAAAAAUUAUUUAAAAAUUUGUACUUCAUUUUAGGAAAUAGAAAGUGUGAAGAGAAGGCCAAGAGAAUUCUUAUAAAACUAGCAAACAAUUGCCACGGGAAGAACACUCAAGCAGUAUCAAAAAGCACUGAAAUACUUCUUUCUCUUCUAUCAAAUUUAGAAUCAUCUGAAUUAUUUGUGUUGAUGCUGCAGGAAGAAUUGCAUUUCGGUGGUCACGUUUCAUUCCAUUCAGAUGUGACUCAGGAUCACUCCAUUUGGCAAGUGAUUCACUGGGAAGGAAAUCAGCUCUCUCUCAUCCCCUAAAAGAAAAAAAAAUACAUUUAUUUCUUCUAGAAAUUGUUGCAGAGUAUAGAAACCUGACCUCCAUAGCAGAGUUCACUGAGUGCUCAUAGCACAGUUUUCAAAAGUG